AGAGUUUGAUCCUGGCUCAGGACGAACGCUGGCGGCGUGCCUAAUACAUGCAAGUCGAACGCACUGACGUCGACCGAAGCUGCUUGCAGUGGACGUUGAUUGACGUGAGUGGCGGACGGGUGAGUAACACGUGGGUAACCUACCCCUAAGUGGGGGAUAACAUUUGGAAACAGAUGCUAAUACCGCAUAACCAUUCAGACCACGUGGUCUGAAUGUAAAAGACGGCCUUUGGCUGUCACUUUUGGACGGACCCGCGGCGUAUUAGUUAGUUGGUAAGGUAACGGCUUACCAAGACAAUGAUACGUAGCCGACCUGAGAGGGUAAUCGGCCACAUUGGGACUGAGACACGGCCCAAACUCCUACGGGAGGCAGCAGUAGGGAAUCUUCCACAAUGGGCGAAAGUCUGAUGGAGCAACGCCGCGUGAGUGAGGAAGGUUUUAGGAUCGUAAAACUCUGUUGUUGGAGAAGAACAGGGACUAGAGUAACUGUUAGUCCUUUGACGGUAUCCAACCAGAAAGCCACGGCUAACUACGUGCCAGCAGCCGCGGUAAUACGUAGGUGGCAAGCGUUGUCCGGAUUUAUUGGGCGUAAAGCGAGCGCAGGCGGUUUUUUAAGUCUGAUGUGAAAGCCUUCGGCUUAACCGAAGAAGUGCAUUAGAAACUGGGAAACUUGAGUGCAGAAGAGGACAGUGGAACUCCAUGUGUAGCGGUGAAAUGCGUAGAUAUAUGGAAGAACACCAGUGGCGAAAGGCGGCUGUCUGGUCUGUAACUGACGCUGAGGCUCGAAAGUAUGGGGAGCGAACAGGAUUAGAUACCCUGGUAGUCCAUACCGUAAACGAUGAAUGCUAAGUGUUGGAGGGUUUCCGCCCUUCAGCGCUGCAGCUAACGCAUUAAGCAUUCCGCCUGGGGAGUACGACCGCAAGGUUGAAACUCAAAGGAAUUGACGGGGGCCCGCACAAGCGGUGGAGCAUGUGGUUUAAUUCGAAGCAACGCGAAGAACCUUACCAGGUCUUGGCAUCCUUUGACCACUGUAGAGGUACAGCUUUCCCUUCGGGGACAAAGUGACAGGUGGUGCAUGGUUGUCGUCAGCUCGUGUCGUGAGAUGUUGGGUUAAGUCCCGCAACGAGCGCAACCCUUAUGACUAGUUGCCAGCAUUUAGUUGGGCACUCUAGUAAGACUGCCGGUGACAAACCGGAGGCAGGUGGGGAUGACGUCAAAUCAGCACGCCCCUUAUGACCUGGGCUACACACGUGCUACAAUGGUCGGUACAACGAGUUGCGAACCCGCGAGGGUAAGCUAAUCUCUUAAAGCCGAUCUCAGUUCGGAUUGUAGGCUGCAACUCGCCUACAUGAAGCCGGAAUCGCUAGUAAUCGCGGAUCAGCACGCCGCGGUGAAUACGUUCCCGGGCCUUGUACACACCGCCCGUCACACCAUGAGAGUUUGUAACACCCGAAGUCGGUGGGGUAACCCUUUUAGGGAACUAGCCGCCUAAGGCGGGACAGAUGAUUGGGGUGAAGUCGUAACAAGGUAACCA
rnacentral:rRNA from 1 species